CAAAGAGAGGACUUCGUCCACACAGAGGCUGCUCCCAGGGCUCCAGCCUUCCCUCUAGUGUUAACUGGCACUAGAGGGCGCCUCGAGUCCUCCCAGUCCCUAGGAGGCGCCCUUGCCAGAGGCCCGGACAACCUGACAUCAGGCACCUGCCGCGCCAAGAACCCAAAACUCCUCGUACCGACGGAAGGCAAGAGCGGCGGCGCUAGGAAGUCCUGAGGCCUCAGGGCCUCACCGCGAGGGGUCACAAGGCCCUCAAAGAGAAGACAUCCUCAAGAUCAUAACCUAACCAAGGUCACAGACGCUACCCCCCCCUCCCUCGGGGAUAGCCCGUUUCCGGCGCCUUUAAAACAGGAAGUACUGACGGCGUCCAAUCCUGGUCCUCCUUCCGCAAUUAGCUUUAGCGUUCGCUCUUCGCCCGGGCAGCGCUAGGCGAGCCGUCUACCUUUACCAAUCAGCUGUCAGGAAAGGCGCAUGCGUUAUCGAACGAACGCGACAUACGGGAACUUUGACCUGAAGACGACCUCCUCUCGUUUCCCCCUCCCUCGCAGCGAAGAUGGCGCUCUCCAGAGUGUGCUGGGCUCGGGCUGCUUUGUGGGGUUCGGCGGUACCCCCUGGACCUUAUGUCGCCCGGAAGCUGCAGUUUGUUCGCUCUGGCCUAGCCUGGGGGGCCCCUCGGUCUUCAAAGCUUCACGUUACUCCAAAGACAGAUGUGAAGAGCUUGAUCUCUUAUGUGGCGACCAAGACAAAAGUGAUUCAUGAGAAAUACCAUCGUUUCUUGGGUCGUCAUUUCCCCCGCUUCUAUGUCCUGUAUACAAUCUUCAUGAAAGGAUUGCAGAUGUUAUGGGCUGAUGCCAAAAAGGCUAGAAGAAUAAAGACAAAUAUGUGGAAGCACAAUGUAAAGUUUCAUCAACUUUCAUACCGGGAGAUGGAGCAUUUGAGACAGUUCCGUCGAGACGUCAACAAGUGUCUUUUCCUAGGUAUUCUUUCCAUUCCACCCUUUGCCAACUACCUGGUCUUCUUGCUAAUGUACCUGUUUCCUAGGCAACUGCUGAUCCAACAUUUCUGGACCCCAAAGCAACAAAUUGAUUUCUUAGAUAUCUAUCAUGCUCUCCGGAAUCAGUCCCACCCUGAAAUCCUUAGUUAUUUAGAAAGAGUUAUCCCUCUCAUUUCUGAUGCAGGACUCCAGUGGCAUAUGACCGAGCUGUGCAGCAAGAUGCAACGUGGUACCCACCCAUCGAAACAUGAUAUCCUGGCUCUGAGAGAGUGCUUCUCGGACCAUCCUCUGGGCAUGAACCAGCUCCAGGCUUUGCAGAUGAGAGCCUUGAGUCGAGCCAUGCUUCUCACACCUUAUCUGCCUUCUGUCUUGUUGAGACACCGUUUAAAGACUCAUACCACUGUGAUUCACCAGCUGGACCAGGCUUUGGCAAAGCUGGGGAUUGGCCAGCUGACUGCUCAGGAGGUGAAGUCGGCUUGUUAUCUUCGUGGCCUGAAUUCCACCCAUAUUGCUGAAGAGAGAUGUCGAACUUGGCUGGGAGAAUGGCUGCAGAUUUCCUGCAGCCUGAAAGACGCUGAGCUGUCCCUCUUGCUACACAGCGUGGUCCUGCUUUCCAUCAACUACACCGGGACAGGGCGCUGAGCGACCGGGGAGCGGAUGGCAUUGCCCUGCGGUCACCUAGUACAGCGGCGUGGGACCAAAUGGCGCUUGUCCGCAGAGUCUGUGUGCACUGUUAGCGAUCCGACUGUAACCGACAGUGGCUGCCUUCUUUGGGCCAUGGAUCAAUCCUGUAAGGUACUAAUUACUGUCCAGCCCCGGAGACCAGGCGAGGUCUACACCGAGAGAGUAAGUUGGGUUCAGCUUCGGCCUACAUGUUAUCAGUGACCUGUAGUAAUUUACUGUAAAUGCAUGAAGUACUGUUUUUAAACUCAAGUAAAGACCGCCUGAAACCAGUUGCUGGAAAUUACUUCUGCACACCCUAAUCAGUUACUAAGGCGCCUUUCACAAGACUGACCAACAUAACCUAACUAAUGGGGAGAUAAUUGGUUGGAAUAGAACCUUCUGAUGGGAUGGAAGUUACAAAGGAGCUGAUUUGAAGUUGAUCCUCUUGCUGGAUUUUAAGAUGGUGACGAGGAAUAGAGAUUUCAUGUGUAUGUACCUGUAUAGUAAUGGAAUUUAAAAAUGGGCCCCAAGACAGGGACUGCAGGUAGGAAGCGCUCUAACGAGGCAGGAUCGAGGCCUGCUUCCGCUGAAGAGGGGCGUUAGGGCACAUGGUGCAAGUCAGGCUCUUGAUGCUCCAAAGAGAAUGUUCUAUUUUUCCACCAUAAAACAUUCCUAUUGUGAACAUUAAUCCUUAACUGGCCUGAUUGGUUUUAUAUACAGCGCUAGAGAAGCAUCUUUUCUCUAACAAGUAACUGAGCUGUGGUCUGGCAAGAUGAAGAAUUAACACACCGUCCUUUCGAAUAGUUCUUUAAUAUUACAUUUAAAUAUUCUCUUUAAAUACAGCAUUAUCACAAUGUAAAGGACCUAAAAGGAGGGAAAAAAAAAUUUUUUUUUUUUUUUUUUUGGAGAACCAGACAAGCUUUGGAUUCACAUUGAAAAUACUAUCUGUGUACAGUAUGUGAGAAAGGAAAUUGUGGAAAAUAAUGAGUUGUAAUAAUGUCAUUUAUUAUAUCUAGACCUAGUCUAACCGGGACUGAAGCUGUCUGCUUCUGUGACCAAAGGCCUAGCCCUUCCAGCCACCACGAGCCAUUCUGUCCAACUCGGGUAGCACCGGAAACGAGAUGGACUAGGUUGUAGAAAAGGCCCUUUGCUUGACAAGACAGUUAAUGCUAAAUGUGAACACUUAGCAUUUCAAAGCUUGGGAUAGGUGAGUCAGAACUGCGAGUUAGUGAAGGGAUGGACUUACAUUGAGAAGCUAGUUUUUUGGAACAAUUAAACCAUCGUGGAAUUUGGCAAUGAGUUUGCCUAGAUUCAAAUUCUUGGUUUGAUCCCAAAUGUGUCUUAUUGAACAGGUGAUAUCCACUCGGUUGCUUAGGCUGGAGCCUUCAAGGAAGGAGGGCAUGUGGAGUGCUCGCCCUCCCCUUCCAACACGAACUUCUAGAUUCUUCUCCAGAGUCAAAGUCCCAGUUAAGCUUCAGUGUUACACUUGAGGGGGUGUAGCUCAUUUUGGGGUGGCAUUUAGAUCUCAGGUACUUAUGAUUCUCAACUCCAUUUUCUGAGACUUAGAGGGUGGGGUGUGAUAAGGGCCUAUGACUUAGAAACUCCCUUUUAAAUGUAAAACCCAGCAAAAACAGGAAUGAACAGGAGAGGCAGAAUGAAUUCAAAGAUGUUUCUUUCAGGCUCAGCUCAGACUGGAGAGGUGAAAUGCUGCCGUGAUGAACAUGAAGGUUGCUUUCAGACACCAGGGCCUUAGUAUCCCACAAGAAAAGGCUUCAUGAGCAAGAUAAGUAGGAAUAGUUAUCUCCCCCACCAAGAAAAAAAAAAAAAAGUUUUUUUUUUUUUUUCCUCUCACUUUGUUUUUUCCUGGUUAAUAAACUAUACCAGAAAUGAAGCCUGGCAUAAAGGACGCUCCCUACUGCCUCCCUUUUAAAACAGAGGCAAAGACAACUUUGCUAACAAAAGAAUCCAGUGGUGUUCAGUGGAGCGCUUCCUGAAACGUAAGCUGGACAUAAGAGGACAGGAACCAUAUUCCCCCUUAAUUCGAGCAAGAACUGCGUUGUUCCACCCCCCAGCCCUCAAAGGGUGUAGUCGGAGUGUGAAUUUUUUUAGAACCUGGGAGUUGUAUUUAAGAAUUGGUUUGGCUUCCAAUUUUGAUGUAUCAAGACGGAGGGAUCCAAUAAGCAUUUGCAGUUCUUGGGGGUGAACCGCGAAAGAAUACAGUAGAGGACUCUAAACCCUGCACAUCCAAGGAGGUCCAUAAGGGCAGAUACAGAAAAAAAAGAACAGAAAC